UCUGCGCCACUCUAUGGAAAAUCCCGCCAAAAUCGGGUCUCCAAAACUACCUUUACUACUCAGUCCCAUCGCCAACUACUGACGAGCAAAAACCGGCCGUCUCCGCCAUGAACUAGCGGCGGAUUCAGCUCCGCGUCUUCAUCCCCUUUGGCUAUUGUGCUCUUAAAGUUAUUGCAGAGUAAGACGUCGAUUUCUCAAUAAGAUCUUGGAUUGUGAGGUGGAUUCCGCUGAAAAAAAACAUUGGAGCGCAUGUAAACAAGUUCCAGAAAUGUAGUGAUACCUUCAUAAGCUGGAACCUAGCAAUUUAGUCAUCGACUUUCCCAUGUCUGAAGAAAAAGGAGGUACUUAUGCUGAAACAAUCAAAAGACCAAGGUAGCUUCCCUGUCUUUUACCAAGUUCUUAAUAUACACUCCCAAUUUAUGCAUGAGCUCUGUUGAGAA